rnacentral:rRNA from 1 species
UUCCAGACUCCUACGGGAGGCAGCAGUGGGGGAUAUUGCACAAUGGGGGGAACCCUGAUGCAGCGACGCCGCGUGGGUGAAGGAGCGUUUCGGCGCGUAAAGCCCUAUCGGCAGGGAAGAAGGAGGACGGUACCUGACUAAGAAGCCCCGGCUAACUACGUGCCAGCAGCCGCGGGAAUACGUAGGGGGCAAGCGUUAUCCGGAUUUACUGGGUGUAAAGGGGGCGCAGACGGCAGCGCAAGCCAGGAGUGAAAGCCCAUGGCUUAACCAUGGUACUGCUCUGGAAACUGUGGAGCUUGAGUGCGGGAGGGGCAGGCGGAAUUCCUAGUGUAGCGGUGAAAUGCGUAGAUAUUAGGAGGAACACCGGCGGCGAAGGCGGCCUGCUGGACCGUAACUGACGUUGAGGCUCGAAAGCGUGGGGAGCAAACAGGAUUAGAUACCCCUGUAC